GCGUGGGGGGGGGUUGCCUAUACAUGCAAGUAGAACGCUGAAGAGAGGAGCUUGCUCUUCUUGGAUGAGUUGCGAACGGGUGAGUAACGCGUAGGUAACCUGCCUUGUAGCGGGGGAUAACUAUUGGAAACGAUAGCUAAUACCGCAUAACAAUGGAUGACACAUGUCAUUUAUUUGAAAGGGGCAAUUGCUCCACUACAAGAUGGACCUGCGUUGUAUUAGCUAGUAGGUGAGGUAACGGCUCACCUAGGCGACGAUACAUAGCCGACCUGAGAGGGUGAUCGGCCACACUGGGACUGAGACACGGCCCAGACUCCUACGGGAGGCAGCAGUAGGGAAUCUUCGGCAAUGGGGGCAACCCUGACCGAGCAACGCCGCGUGAGUGAAGAAGGUUUUCGGAUCGUAAAGCUCUGUUGUAAGUCAAGAACGAGUGUGAGAGUGGAAAGUUCACACUGUGACGGUAGCUUACCAGAAAGGGACGGCUAACUACGUGCCAGCAGCCGCGGUAAUACGUAGGUCCCGAGCGUUGUCCGGAUUUAUUGGGCGUAAAGCGAGCGCAGGCGGUUUGAUAAGUCUGAAGUUAAAGGCUGUGGCUCAACCAUAGUUCGCUUUGGAAACUGUCAAACUUGAGUGCAGAAGGGGAGAGUGGAAUUCCAUGUGUAGCGGUGAAAUGCGUAGAUAUAUGGAGGAACACCGGUGGCGAAAGCGGCUCUCUGGUCUGUAACUGACGCUGAGGCUCGAAAGCGUGGGGAGCGAACAGGAUUAGAUACCCUGGUAGUCCACGCCGUAAACGAUGAGUGCUAGGUGUUGGAUCCUUUCCGGGAUUCAGUGCCGCAGCUAACGCAUUAAGCACUCCGCCUGGGGAGUACGACCGCAAGGUUGAAACUCAAAGGAAUUGACGGGGGCCCGCACAAGCGGUGGAGCAUGUGGUUUAAUUCGAAGCAACGCGAAGAACCUUACCAGGUCUUGACAUCCCGAUGCUAUUUCUAGAGAUAGAAAGUUACUUCGGUACAUCGGUGACAGGUGGUGCAUGGUUGUCGUCAGCUCGUGUCGUGAGAUGUUGGGUUAAGUCCCGCAACGAGCGCAACCCCUAUUGUUAGUUGCCAUCAUUCAGUUGGGCACUCUAGCGAGACUGCCGGUAAUAAACCGGAGGAAGGUGGGGAUGACGUCAAAUCAUCAUGCCCCUUAUGACCUGGGCUACACACGUGCUACAAUGGUUGGUACAACGAGUUGCGAGUCGGUGACGGCAAGCUAAUCUCUUAAAGCCAAUCUCAGUUCGGAUUGUAGGCUGCAACUCGCCUACAUGAAGUCGGAAUCGCUAGUAAUCGCGGAUCAGCACGCCGCGGUGAAUACGUUCCCGGGCCUUGUACACACCGCCCGUCACACCACGAGAGUUUGUAACACCCGAAGUCGGUGAGGUAACCUUUUGGAGCCAGCCGCUAAGUGGAUUGAGGUG
rnacentral:rRNA from 1 species